UCGGUUGCCAGGGCCCCGCGGUUGCCAAGGGCUCGGUUCGGCGCGGUGGCGGCUCCCGCUGCCGCCGCCCGGGCCCGCCGCCGCCGCCUGCCCCGGGCCGGCGCGAUGGUGACGCUCGCUGCCAAGUGCCUGCUGGCAGGAGAUCCAGCUGUGGGUAAGAGUGCUUUAGCCCAGAUGUUUCGCAGUGAUGGGGCUCAUUUUCAGAAGAACUACACACUGACAGCGGGCAUAGAACUGUUGGUGAAAGCUGUAUCAGUUCCAGAGACAAGUGAUAGUGUGGAAUUCUUCAUUUUUGACUCUGCAGGAAAAGAUCUAUUUUCUGAAAUGCUGGAGAAACUGUGGGAGCAACCCAACGUCCUGUGCCUUGUGUAUGAUGUCACUAAUGAGCAAUCCUUCGACAACUGUAACAAAUGGUUGGAGAAGCUGAGGGCUCAAGCAGUUGGGAUGCACAUCCCAGGUGUCUUAGUGGGGAAUAAAACAGACCUAGCUGAUCGUCGAGUUGUGGAGCAGGAACAAGCACAGGAGUGGGCUGAGAAACAUGGCCUGGAAUACUGUGAGAUGUCAGUGAAGGAAAUGAAAAAUUUUGAGGCCCCUUUCCACAUCCUGGCAAAGUUAUUCCACCAACUGUACAAAGAGAAAGUGGAAACUUUUCACUCACUAGCCUGACUGGUAUGAUUUAUUUAUCCUCUAAGCUUCUUCUAGUACUGAGAAUCCUGCUGGACUGCAUACAGAGAGAAGAAAAAAUAUGAGCUAUUUGCUACUUCAUGGUCAUCCUCUGAAUCUCUUUCAUUCCUUCGACCUGGCUCACUGUCCCUGCCUGGUGGGAGCUGUGUCGCGUCCAACCGCUGUCACUUGGUGACGCAGUGCCCUCUGCUGGUCCCAGGUCACAGGAGUUCUCCAGAGGCUGCCACCUCCCUUGAAGUGAGCAGGAUGGGCCUCCUGCAGGCACAUCCAAAUUGGCUUAGCUGCAAAAUGGAGUGAAAUUGCAAGAAUACAUUUUCUAUUCUAAAGAUUAAUCUAAAACUUACAAAAAAUUACCUUUUCGUCUUCAUGUCUUUAUCAUCUUACAUAUUGUUGUGUCAUUUUUGUCAGCUGAAUUUGGCAAUACCGUUCUGAUUAGGUUCAGUUCUCCAUCUCAAAAUCAAAGUCCUCUUAUUAAAGUCUCUCCGCUUGUCAUUGAAUUUCAGAUAAAAGACCACGGUUCUGAUGUUGCUAGUGGAAACAGGACUAAGGAAAUGAAAGACAGCCUGGCUAAGUUACUCUGACUCAGCUGUGUCUGGCUAGAAGUUUCGUAUUAGAAAGGGUGAAAGCUUAGAGAGAGUUGCUCUAUUGUGUGGAGUACUAAUGUUCCAUGUGUAAGACCCUUUGCUAAUGCAGUAUGCAAAAGCAUCUGUGGUAAGGUACUGCCUUGUAACUGAGCCUAACACCAAGACUUUCAAAAAUGUAACCAUUAUCUACCCGAUUAUGGUAGACUCCCUUGGGCAAGGGAAGCUGAGUUUUGUAGAGACUGAGCACUGAGUGAUUUUUCAGGCAGUCUUUUCAGGAAUCUGUGUUUCAGGACUUCUAUACGUGUGGUUUAUAAUCAUUUUUAUGCCCAGUGCUAGGAAAAGUACAUUAAAUUGAACGUAAGAAAUAUGGCUGCAGAUGUUGUAGCAGGCUUUGUGAAGCACUUCAAGAAUCUGGAGAAGCACUGCCCUCAUUUCACUGGCAACAGUGUGUUGAUGCUGAGAACUCGCUAGGGAGCAUGAAUACCAGUUAAAGAGGAUGAGUAGGAGCUCAAUCUAUAAGAAGUAAAAACAAGAGGUUCUUUUGCUAAAAGCCAACUCAAAAAUGACAGAACAAGCUGGGAAAGCUUCUGCUUUCUCCAAAGAAGGAAGGAGUCCUCUAUGAACUUCGGGUAACUAGAAGACUCACUCUUUUUGAACCUGAUAGCACUACCGGCAUUUGUAUCUUGGAGGGGUUGUCUUGUUAAUCCUGGGUGUUUUCUGUUGAUUUGCAUAGGCCGUAUAGACUCUUGCUUGCAGGUGCUGGUAUCUGCACCUUUUAUUCUUACUCUGACUAGUAAGAAUAAAAGCUAUUUUGGAUGCUGUGCUGAUCCAGUUAAAGAACUAAAGAAGUUUUUUUUUUAUUUGGUAUCUCAUUUCCCCCUGGUUCUAUUGACAAUGUGAUCACAAAACAAGACACAUAUUUUUUCAUAUUGAAAAUAACAUCAGAUGUAUAUGUCACCUGUGACAGGGUGUAUCUAGAGGAAGAAUGUCUUGGGAAUAGGUAAUAAAAUUAAUUCUGUGCAAUCUUUGACCAGGGAGUCUAUCGCUCUGCACCUGAAGGACCUCCCAUAACUUCAAAUAAACACUCUAAAUGUGCCUGUAAGAUGAAGAUUGGUGAAUGCUGUUUUAUAAAAUAAAUGCAAAAGCUGGAGGAGCUCAUUAAGAGAAUGCUUGCAGUGGUGAUUUUUGAUUUAUGGGGAAGCUGCUUUUGAGAAGUUAGUGAAGAAAAAUGCAGCCCAUGCAGGGAAAGAUGUAUUGCCUGAGAGAGGAAAUGUAUGAUCUAAUUAGCUAACAGUAGGGGUUCACCCACUGCCCCUUUCCCUCUUCCACCAGCCACAACCACAAUUAGAAAAGAAGUCAUGUUUAAAGCAUGUUGUCCAACUUGCUUUUUACAGGACUAUUUCAAGCACUAGUAUGGACACAGUUUAAUGUCCUUCAAAAUAGUGUGUUUGACCAUAACAAUCUCAACCCUUUCAAAUCUAUUUUAACAGCAUAAUAUAUUGUCCUUCCUGGCUAAUGUGCUGUAUAAUACCAGCCUGAUGCAAGUGGUGGUUGUUGCUGUUUUCCUGGCUUAAUUGUGACCUUGUUUGUAGAGGCUAGGAGUGAAGAGGGGGUAGAAAACAUGGGAGCCAAACAUGGGAAAGUUGUGGGAAAUAGUUUUGUCUCUGUGUGAAGGAGUUCAGGGUGGUGAGUAAGUGAGCUGGACCAGCAGGAUGAGUAAGAGACUGGAGCUAUUAUUAAGUUUCUCCUACCUGUUUACUAACUGUGGAAGUCACAUCUGUAGAGUGAGGAUGAGUGUUUGCUGCUUAUAGGCUUAGCAUCAGUCUGAAUUACAGAUGCUGUGGCGAACAGUGGGAGGAAGACAGAAAGCCUGUCUGCUGACCAGGAAGCUUGUUGUCUUCUUACAGCUCCCCUGCUUUGUUCAGCUGUGCAGUGCUGCAGGUGCUCAGCAUGAGUGUUACAACACAGAAAAGACCCAGCUCAACCAGAACUGAAAUAUCAAUAAAAGAGGAAAGAAACCAACAGGCCUUUAACUAGUUUUAAUAGAUAUGUAGUCCUUUUUCCUGCUUGCUUGUUUGAUUAGACAAAACCAUUUCUUUCCUCCCUGGAGUCCCUCCUUACCUUUCCUUUGGUCCUCAUGGGUCUGCACAGAAUCUCUGUUAUGCUUGUGCCCUGCUUUACUUAGCUUGAUACAUCAUCAGCUGAUUUUUUUUUAUCCUUCUAAUUUCUGCAUUAUCUAUUCCCAAGGCUGCAAGACAUUUCUUCUUAGAUUAAUAGACAAAAGGAAACAAAAGUGGAAUUUUUAGUCAAAUUGUCUUGAAAUAAAAUACCUUAAGAAGC